rnacentral:rRNA from 1 species
AGUGAACGCUGGCGGUAGGCCUAACACAUGCAAGUCGAACGGCAGCACAGUAAGAGCUUGCUCUUACGGGUGGCGAGUGGCGGACGGGUGAGGAAUACAUCGGAAUCUACUUUUUCGUGGGGGAUAACGUAGGGAAACUUACGCUAAUACCGCAUACGACCUACGGGUGAAAGCAGGGGAUCUUCGGACCUUGCGCGAUUGAAUGAGCCGAUGUCGGAUUAGCUAGUUGGCGGGGUAAAGGCCCACCAAGGCGACGAUCCGUAGCUGGUCUGAGAGGAUGAUCAGCCAAACUGGAACUGGGCCACGGUCCAGACUCCUACGGGAGGCAGCAGUGGGGAAUAUUGGACAAUGGGCGCAAGCCUUAUCCAGCCAUACCGCGUGGGUGAAGAAGGCCUUCGGGUUGUAAAGCCCUUUUGUUGGGAAAGAAAAGCAGCAGGUUAAUACCCCGCUGUUCUGACGGUACCCAAAGAAUAAGCACCGGCUAACUUCGUG